ACCUUCCUCUUAUCCCAUGACUGGCUACUUUGCUCAAGAGUGUUUUGUGGGGGUCCUUAUCAAAGGCUUUCUGAAAGCCCAAGAACAAUAUAUCCACUGAAUCACCAUUGUCCACUUACUUGUUGACAUCCUCACAGAAUUCUAAUAGAUUGGCUGAUGUCAACAUCCCCCUUUACUGCCCCAGCGAAAUGUGAAGACGAUGUUAAUUUGCAUUUGCUGUGUGCAAGUAACACAUUCCAGAUAAUCGUGGAUAUUCUGGAUCGAUAUGGCAAGUGCAUUGAGACUGCAGCAACACAUUUAAAACCUUAUAAAAGGUUAUUUAGUUGCUAACAGUGCAGCAGUUUCUGCAAAGCCUGCCAAAAGGUUACAGCUUUUUGGGCAUCAUAAAUUACAGACGACAGGGGAAAAAAGUAAGUGCGGUUUUCUUUAUUGUCUCAAUGAUGGAUGGGCUCCUGAACAAGACACAAAAUACAUCAUAUCACCUUUAAUGGGUCCACAUUUCUGUAGCCAUAACUCACAAUUUUAAAAUAGAAAAUGGUGAAAUAUGGCGUUGUAUAUUCCACUCCUGACAUAUUUAUGAGUCCUUCCCUUCUUAUAAAUACAGUGAUUGCUAUUUCAAAGCACCAUGUCAGGUAUGAACAGAGCGCAAACAGCUGGUGCGGUUGAAAAAUUAUAGCCAGAGUUGGACGUUUUCAAAAACUCUCUCUAGCAGCAGUAAAUUUACAGUGUUUGCACUAACUGUUAUUAAAACCAAAUCCAUAGCUUGGCAACAGGAAUCCAUUGCUGUGUAACAGCUGGAGUGACAGCGCUGCAUGACAGCUGGGGAGAGCUGGAAGGCUGGUGCUACACCCGUGUGAAAACCCAUUUCAAGGGGAUCAUCAACGUUCUCCAUCCCAGCCUGUGCAGUCCCCAGCAGUCUGUGGGCUGUGAGUUGGACUGUUGGGAGAAUGACAGCAGCAUAGUUUAUCUUCUGCCUGGCCCCAUGUUUUUAAUCUUUUCUUUUCAAAAGCCUUUCCUCUGACUGCUGAGACUCGCCUCAUCCCAAACUCGUGGGCGUGUCUGACUCGGCCUUCAUGCAAAUACAGCCUGAUUAGGUCCCAAUCCUGCAAGCUGGGGCCCAGCACCCUGAGACAGCAGUGAAGUCACUUUCAACAGGUUUGGGAUCUAACAGCUACAUUUUCCAAAACACCACUGAGCUUGGUUACCUAAAGCGAGGGACUGCAGUUAGGGCAAUGUAUAUCCUGCAGCUGGAGGUGUGCUUCCCGGCCCACUUAGAUAGCCAUGCUAGGUCUGUGUGAGCUAAAAAUAGCAGCAUUGUUGU